rnacentral:rRNA from 1 species
UGGGGAAUAUUGCACAAUGGGCGCAAGCCUGAUGCAGCAACGCCGCGUGAGGGACGACGGCCUUCGGGUUGUAAACCUCUUUUGGCAGGGAAGAAGCGAAAGUGACGGUACCUGCAGAAAAAGCACCGGCUAACUACGUGCCAGCAGCCGCGGUGAUACGUAGGGUGCAAGCGUUGUCCGGAAUUAUUGGGCGUAAAGAGCUCGUAGGCGGUUUGUCGCGUCUGCUGUGAAAACCCGAGGCUCAACCUCGGGCCUGCAGUGGGUACGGGCAAACUAGAGUGCGGUAGGGGAGAUUGGAAUUCCUGGGGUAGCGGUGGAAUGCGCGGAUAUCAGGAGGAACACCGAUGGCGAAGGCAGAUCUCUGGGCCGUAACUGACGCUGAGGAGCGAAAGCAUGGGGAGCGAACA